rnacentral:rRNA from 1 species
AGAAUCAACGCUGGCGGCGUGCCUAACACAUGCAAGUCGAACGAGAAAGGGUAGCAAUACCUGAGUAAAGUGGCGCACGGGUGAGUAACACGUGACUAACCUACCCUGGAGUGGGGGAUAACUGAGGGAAACCUUAGCUAAUACCGCAUAAUACCUACGGGUCAAAGGAGCAAUUCGCUUCAGGAGGGGGUCGCGGCCGAUUAGUUAGUUGGCGGGGUAAUGGCCCACCAAGACGAUGAUCGGUAUCCGGCCUGAGAGGGCGCACGGACACACUGGAACUGAAACACGGUCCAGACUCCUACGGGAGGCAGCAGUGGGGAAUUUUGCGCAAUGGGGGAAACCCUGACGCAGCAACGCCGCGUGGAGGAUGAAGUCCUUCGGGACGUAAACUCCUUUCGAUCGGGACGAUUAUGACGGUACCGGAAGAAGAAGCCCCGGCUAACUUCGCGCCAGCAGCCGC